rnacentral:rRNA from 1 species
GGUGAGUAACACGUGGAUAACCUACCUAUAAGGCUGGGAUAACUUCGGGAAACCGGAGCUAAUACCGGAUAAUAUUUUGAACCGCAUGGUUCAAAAGUGAAAGACGGUCUUGCUGUCACUUAUAGAUGGAUCCGCGCUGCAUUAGCUAGUUGGUAAGGUAACGGCUUACCAAGGCAACGAUGCAUAGCCGACCUGAGAGGGUGAUCGGCCACACUGGAACUGAGACACGGUCCAG